rnacentral:rRNA from 1 species
UACGGAGGGUGCGAGCGUUGUCCGGAAUCACUGGGCGUAAAGGGCGCGUAGGUGGCGCGGGCAGUCAACGGUGAAAGUCCGGGCUCAACCUCGGAUCGGCCGUGGCGACUCGUGGGCUGGAGCACUGUAGAGGCGGGUGGAAUUCCGGGUGUAGCGAUGGAAUGCGUAGAGAUCCGGAAGAACACCAGUGGCGAAGGCGGCCCGCUGGGCAGUGGGCUGACGCUGAGGCGCGACAGCGUGGGGGAGCAAAACAGG